rnacentral:rRNA from 1 species
UACGUAGGGGGCAAGCGUUGUCCGGAUUUAUUGGGCGUAAAGAGCGUGUAGGCGGUUUUACAAGUCCGCUGUGAAAACUCGAGGCUCAACCUCGAGCUGUCGGUGGAAACUGUAAGGCUAGAGUCCGGAAGAGGAGAGUGGAAUUCCUGGUGUAGCGGUGAAAUGCGCAGAUAUCAGGAAGAACACCCGUGGCGAAGGCGGCUCUCUGGGGACGGUACUGACGCUGAGACGCGAAAGCGUGGGGAGCGAACAGG